rnacentral:misc_RNA from 1 species
ACAAACUUGGUCAUUUAGAGGAAGUAAAAGUCGUAACAAGGUCUCCGUUGGUGAACCAGCGGAGGGAUCAUUAUCGAGUUUACCCAACUCCCAAACCCCUGUGAACAUACCUACGUUGCUUCGGCGGACCACCCUCGCCUCACCGCGGGGGCCCGCCAGAGGACCCAAAACCCAACUUUGUUUUUUGCCUUACAGUGAACUUCUGAGUGGAUUUUAUAAAUCAAAUCAAAACUUUCAACAACGGAUCUCUUGGCUCUGGCAUCGAUGAAGAACGCAGC